rnacentral:rRNA from 1 species
AACGAACGCUGGCGGCAUGCCUAACACAUGCAAGUCGAACGAGACCUUCGGGUCUAGUGGCGCACGGGUGCGUAACGCGUGGGAACCUGCCCUUAGGUUCGGAAUAACUCCCCUAAAGGGGUGCUAAUACCGGAUAAUGUCUUCGGACCAAAGAUUUAUCGCCUUUGGAUGGGCCCGCGUUGGAUUAGCUAGUUGGUAGGGUAAAAGCCUACCAAGGCGACGAUCCAUAGCUGGUCUGAGAGGAUGAUCAGCCACACUGGGACUGAGACACGGCCCAGACUCCUACGGGAGGCAGCAGUGGGGAAUAUUGGACAAUGGGCGAAAGCAUGAUCCAGCAAUGCCGCGUGAGUGAUGAAGGCCUUAGGGUUGUAAAGCUCUUUUACCCGGGAUGAUAAUGACAGUACCGGGAGAAUAAGCACCGGCUAACUCCGUG